GACGAACGCUGGCGGCGUGCUUAACACAUGCAAGUCGAGCGGUAAGGCCCUUUCGGGGGUACACGAGCGGCGAACGGGUGAGUAACACGUGGGUGACCUGCCCUUAGCUCUGGGAUAAGCCUGGGAAACUGGGUCUAAUACCGGAUAUGACUCCAUAACGCAUGUUGUGGGGUGGAAAGCCUUGUGCGGCUAGGGAUGGGCCCGCGGCCUAUCAGCUUGUUGGUGGGGUGAUGGCCACCAAGGCGACGACGGGUAGCCGGCCUGAGAGGGCGACCGGCCACACUGGGACUGAGACACGGCCCAGACUCCUACGGGAGGCAGCAGGUGGGGAAUCUUGCGCAAUGGGCGAAAGCCUGACGCAGCGACG
rnacentral:rRNA from 1 species